rnacentral:rRNA from 1 species
UACGUAGGGUGCAAGCGUUGUCCGGAAUUAUUGGGCGUAAAGAGCUCGUAGGCGGUCUGUCGCGUCGGCUGUGAAAACUCGGGGCUCAACCCCGAGCCUGCAGUCGAUACGGGCAGACUAGAGUGCUGUAGGGGAGACUGGAAUUCCCGGUGUAGCGGUGAAAUGCGCAGAUAUCGGGAGGAACACCAAUGGCGAAGGCAGCUCGCUGGGACGGUACUGACGCUGAGACGCGAAAGCGUGGGGAGCAAACAGG